GCCAGGCACGGUGGCACGUGCCUGUAGUCCCAGCUACUCCGGAGGCUGAGACUGGAGGAUCACUUGAGCCCAGGAGUUCUGGGCUGUAGUGCACUAUGCCAGUCGGGUGUCUGCACUAAGUUCGGCAUCAAUAUUGUGACAUCUUGGGAGCAGGGGACCACCAGGUUGCCUAAGGAGGGGUGAACCAGGCAGGUCGGAAACAGAGCAGGUCAAAACUCCCGUGCUGAUCAGUAGUGGGAUCGUUGUCUGUGAAUAGCCACUGGACUCCAGCCUGGGCAACAUAACGAGACCCCAUCUCU
rnacentral:SRP_RNA from 1 species